rnacentral:misc_RNA from 1 species
GUUUAGUAGGGCUACUAGGUGGGGAAAAUGAAAUUACAAAGCAGCAGAGCACAGAUCAACGGAGAUAAGAGACUUCUCAGAGCAAGGUAUUACGAAUGUGGGGAGAGGAUAAAGAUCGCAAUCGUGAGGGUUUGAAUGAAUCGGAUGGCUUAGUCUCUCUGAUCUGGUGUCGUCGUUGCUGCUGUAAACAGACGAUAUCUGUAUCCUCUUUAAUGUUAGUUUCUUAGUGUCCCUGCAAAACCAGCUUAAUUCAG